CGGCGGAACACGUGAAAUUCCGUCGGAAUCCGGGAGGACCAUCUCCCAAGGCUAAAUACUCCCUAGUGACCGAUAGUGAACCAGUACCGUGAGGGAAAGGUGAAAAGCACCCCGGAAGGGGAGUGAAACAGUUCCUGAAACCGUGUGCCUACAAGUAGUUAGAGCCCGUUAAUGGGUGAUAGCGUGCCUUUUGUAGAAUGAACCGGCGAGUUACGAUUUGUUGCAAGGUUAAGCGGAAAAAGCGGAGCCGUAGCGAAAGCGAGUCUGAAUAGGGCGCAUAAGUAACAGGUCGUAGACCCGAAACCAGGUGAUCUACCCAUGUCCAGGAUGAAGGUAAGGUAAUACUUACUGGAGGUCCGAACCCACGCACGUUGAAAAGUGCGGGGAUGAGGUGUGGGUAGCGGAGAAAUUCCAAUCGAACUUGGAGAUAGCUGGUUCUCUCCGAAAUAGCUUUAGGGCUAGCCUCGAGGUAAAGAGUCAUGGAGGUAGAGCACUGUUUGGACUAGGGGCCCUUCUCGGGUUACCGAAUUCAGAUAAACUCCGAAUGCCAUGUACUUAUACUCGGGAGUCAGACUGCGAGUGAUAAGAUCCGUAGUCGAAAGGGAAACAGCCCAGACCACCAGUUAAGGU
rnacentral:rRNA from 1 species